UACGGGGGGAGCAAGCGUUGUUCGGAUUUACUGGGCGUAAAGGGCGCGUAGGCGGUCAGCACAAGUCAGUUGUGAAAUCUCCGGGCUUAACUCGGAAAGGUCAACUGAUACUGUGCGACUAGAGUGCAGAAGGGGCAACUGGAAUUCUCGGUGUAGCGGUGAAAUGCGUAGAUAUCGAGAGGAACACCUGCGGCGAAGGCGGGUUGCUGGGCUGCCACUGACGCUGAUGCGCGAAAGCUAGGGGAGCGAACGGG
rnacentral:rRNA from 1 species